rnacentral:sRNA from 1 species
GCCGGGCAUGAUGGCACAUGCCUGUAAUCUCAGUGACUGGGAGGCUGAGACAGGAGGAUCACGAGUUCAAAGCCAGCCCCAGCAAUGAUGACAUACAAAGCAAAUUAGUAAGACCCUGUCUCUA